CCGAGAGACCGGCCGCAGAGCGCACCGACGCGCACCCGCUCUCUUCUUAAUUCUUAUUCUUAUUCUUCUUACGCGUUUAGUAGUAUCUUACCUCAAUAUUAUUCAUCUACCUAUCCCAUUAUUAUUAUACUUUCUCUCUUGUAUCCUACCCCAAUUUCCUUCCUUUUUCCCUUCUUUUUUCUCGUUAGAUCCUCUAAGGCCCAAAAUUGUGUAUUUCGUUUAUCGAACUUCGUCGCGAGCUACUCUACCUUCGUGGUGUUAGUUUUUUUGUUAUUCUUCGUGUCUGCUGUGUGUCUUUAAAUUCGACUGUGUGAUAAUUGUCUACGAAUUUUGAGAUUUAUCAUUUCUUUUCUUUUUUUUUCAACUUUUGUUUGUCUUUUUUCUUGUUUUCUGACCAUUGUUUUUUUACUUUUUUACUUUUGGAUUCGACGUCCGUCAUGUAAAGUGAUAAUCGACGUGAAUGGAUGGUGGUGGUGUUUAUCACGCCCCACCCUCCCCCCUUUUGUUGACGUUUAUUCGUCAAUGAAACAAAUUCUACGUAAUUGUGUGACUUUAUGGUGAUAAAGUGUGUUUUAACUGGAAGUGUAUUUACGACAUGCUCCACCUCGUCACCAAGCAACGCUCCAACUGGAUCUUACGGAUCAUAUUGAAUGGACCCGCUAAUCGCAGGAGCGUCGUCGAUCUUCUUCGUCCCAAGAGGUGGAUAGAAAGGAUCGAUUUUUGUUCCUCGACGAGAAUAACGACGACAGGAACGUCGAGACAAGAGGAUUAUCCUAUCGAAUCUGUGUUAACGUUCGAAGAUACAUUAAGUUCGAUCGGAAUGAAUUUGUCUUUAGUGAGAACCAGAAAGUUACCUGAUCGAGAUAUUCACCUUCCUAGAAUUGGAACGGAUAUAAAACUAUAAGAAAAAAAAA